UACGAAGGGGGCUAGCGUUGUUCGGAAUUACUGGGCGUAAAGCGCACGUAGGCGGAUCGAUCAGUCAGGGGUGAAAUCCCAGAGCUCAACUCUGGAACUGCCUUUGAUACUGUCGAUCUGGAGUAUGGAAGAGGUGAGUGGAAUUCCGAGUGUAGAGGUGAAAUUCGUAGAUAUUAGGAAGAACACCAGUGGCGAAGGCGGCUCACUGGCUCGGUACUGACGCUGAGGCGCGAAAGCGUGGGGAGCAAACAGG
rnacentral:rRNA from 1 species